GGAGCGACCCUCACAAGCAUGUGCGAAUGAGCACAAAUGGCAAGCAAGCAUAGUCAUCGUCACAACGAUCCGGUCAUCAUGGCUGAACCAUGGAAAUGAUCGCUAGCAACCCAUAGGUCUAGUCCAAUGUCCCAAGUGAAGGUUUAACCAUUCAUUAUGUCCAAUGCCCCUUUAUGGCAUUAUAUCUCACUAUACCCAAGUCUUGUUCCAACACUAAUGCCACUUUAUGACAUUAGGUUUACUAAGUCCACACAUAUUCCGAGCCUAAUGCCCCUUUAUGACAUUAGCUUGCUAAGUCCAUAUCUAGUCCUAGCCUAAUGCCGCUUGUGACAUGAGCUUACUAUACCAAUUCCAAGCCUAAUGCCCCUUUAUGACAUUAGCUUACUAUCUCA
rnacentral:lncRNA from 1 species